rnacentral:rRNA from 1 species
UACGGAGGGGGCUAGCGUUGUUCGGAAUUACUGGGCGUAAAGCGCACGUAGGCGGCUUUGUAAGUUAGAGGUGAAAGCCCCGGGCUCAACUCGGGAAGUGCAUUUGAAACUGGCGAGCUUGAAUAUGGAAGAGGGUCGCGGAAUUCCCGGUGUAGAGGUGAAAUUCGUAGAUAUCGGGAGGAACACCAGUGGCGAAGGCGGCGACCUGGGCCAAUAUUGACGCUGAGGUGCGAAAGCGUGGG